UACGUAGGGGGCUAGCGUUGUCCGGAAUCAUUGGGCGUAAAGAGCGUGUAGGCGGCCCGGUAAGUCCGCUGUGAAAGUCGGGGGCUCAACCCUCGAAUGCCGGUGGAUACUGUCGGGCUAGAGUGCGGAAGAGGCGAGUGGAAUUCCUGGUGUAGCGGUGAAAUGCGCAGAUAUCAGGAGGAACACCAGUGGCGAAGGCGGCUCACUGGUCCGGUACUGACGCUGAGGUGCGAAAGCGUGGGGAGCAAACAGG
rnacentral:rRNA from 1 species